rnacentral:tRNA from 1 species
UUAAUUGAAGCUAAUUUUUAGCACAUUACUGUUAAUAAUGCAUUAAGAGUUUAAACUCCAAUUAUC